rnacentral:rRNA from 1 species
GAUGAACGCUAGCUACAGGCUUAACACAUGCAAGUCGAGGGGCAGCAUGGUCUUAGCUUGCUAAGGCCGAUGGCGACCGGCGCACGGGUGAGUAACACGUAUCCAACCUGCCGUCUACUCUUGGACAGCCUUCUGAAAGGAAGAUUAAUACAAGAUGGCAUCAUGAGUCCGCAUGUUCACAUGAUUAAAGGUAUUCCGGUAGACGAUGGGGAUGCGUUCCAUUAGAUAGUAGGCGGGGUAACGGCCCACCUAGUCUUCGAUGGAUAGGGGUUCUGAGAGGAAGGUCCCCCACAUUGGAACUGAGACACGGUCCAAACUCCUACGGGAGGCAGCAGUGAGGAAUAUUAGUCGAUGGGCGAGAGCCUGAACCAGCCAAGUAGCGUGAAGGAUGACUGCCCUAUGGGUUGUAAACUUCUUUUAUAAAGGAAUAAAGUCGGGUAUGGAUACCCGUUUGCAUGUACUUUAUGAAUAAGGAUCGGCUAACUCCGUG